rnacentral:tRNA from 1 species
GGCGGCAUAGCUCAGUUGGUAGAGCAAACGGCUCAUAUCCGUUGGGUCAUAGGUCCGAGUCCUAUUGCCGCUA